CCUACGGGAGGCAGCAGUAGGGAAUUUUCCACAAUGGGCGAAAGCCUGAUGGAGCAAUACCGCGUGCAGGAUGAAGGCCUUCGGGUCGUAAACUGCUUUUAUGUGCGAAGAAUUUGACGGUAACACAUGAAUAAGGAUCGGCUAACUACGUGCCAGCAGCCGCGGUCAUACGUAGGAUCCAAGCGUUAUCCGGAAUUACUGGGCGUAAAGAGUUGCGUAGGUGGCAUUAUAAGUGGAGCGUGAAAGCGUGCGGCUCAACCGCAUUAUUGCGUUCCAAACUGUGAAGCUUGAGUAUGGGAGAGGUAGAUGGAAUUUCUAGUGUAGGAGUGAAAUCCGUAGAUAUUAGAAGGAACACCGAUGGCGUAGGCAGUCUACUGGCCCAUUACUGACACUAAGGCACGAAAGCGUGGGGAGCAAACGGGAUUAGAUACCCCGGUAGUCCACGCUGUAAACUAUGGAUGCUAGCUGUGACACACAUCGACCUGUGUCGUAGCGAAGUUAACGCGUUAAGCAUCCCGCUGGGGAUACGGUCGCAAGNUUAAAACGCAAAGGAUUGACGG
rnacentral:rRNA from 1 species